rnacentral:rRNA from 1 species
AUGAGGUGUGGGUAGCGGAGAAAUUCCAAUCGAACUCGGAGAUAGCUGGUUCUCCUCGAAAUAGCUUUAGGGCUAGCCUUGAUAGAAGUCUAACGGAGGUAAAGCACUGAAUCGUCGCGGGUCCCCAAAAGGAUACCAACACGUAUCAAACUAAGAAUGCCGUCAAGAUAUCAUCAGGAGUCAGACUACGUGAGAUAAGUCUCGUGGUCAAAAGGGAAAGAGCCCAGACCGACAGCUAAGGUCCCAAAGUACGUGUUAAGUGGAAAAGGAUGUGGGAUUUCAAAGACAACUAGGAUGUUGGCUUAGAAGCAGCCAUACAUUUAAAGAGUGCGUAAUAGCUCACUAGUCGAGAAAACCUGCGCCGAAAAUUAACGGGGCUAAAACACGACACCGAAGCUACGGAUUGAUAGUCAUUAAGACAUCAGUGGUAGAGGAGCAAUCUGUAAGGACGAAGCUCAAACGUAAGUGAGAGUGGACGAAACAGAAGAGAGAAUGCCGGAAUGAGUAGCGAGAUAUAAGUAAGAAUCUUAUAGGCCGAAUAUCUAAGGUUUCCUGAGUAAAGCUGAUCUUCUCAGGGUAAGUCGGGACCUAAGGCGAGGACGAGAGUCGUAGUCGAUGGACAACUGGUAGAGAUUCCAGUACUACAAUCAAUCAGAACUGUGGGGACACAGGAGGAUAAGCAAACCGGGGAAAGGGAAAACCCGGCUAAGUACAAAGUUUUAGUUGGUAGGCAAAACCGCCAGCGUAUGAUGAAGUACGAUAGGGACUGAAAAAGAGUAGGGAAGUUGCUGAAUCCACACUGUCGAGAAAAGCCGCUAUAGUGUUGAUUGUACCCGUACCGAAAACCGACACAGGUAGAUGAGGAGAAAAUCCACAGGCCGACGGGAGAAGUGUUGUUAAGGAACUCGGCAAAAUGACCCCGUAACUUAGGGAUAAGGGGAGCCACAGCGAUGUGGCCGCAGAAAAGAGGCUCACGCAACUGUUUAGCAAAAACAUAGGUCUCUGCGAAACCGUAAGGUGAAGUAUAGGGGCUGACACCUGCCCGGUGCUGGAAGGUCAAAAGGAGAGGUUAGCGCAAGCGAAGCUUUGAAUUCAAGCCCCAGUAAACGGCGGCCGUAACAAUAACGGUCCUAAGGUAGCGAAAUUCCUUGUCAGGUAAGUUCUGACCCGCACGAAAGGUGUAAUGAUGUGAGCACUGUCUCAACAACACGCCCGGUGAAAUUGAAGAACUAGUGAAGAUACUAGUUACCCGCAAUAGGACGGAAAGACCCCAUGGAGCUUUACUGCAAUCUAAUACUGGGAUUCGAUGAUGUAUGUACAGGAUAGGAGGGAGACGAAGAAUCCGGGACGCCAGUUUCGGAGGAGUCGACGGUGGGAUACCUCUCUUAUAUCAUUGAAUUUCUAACCUGUAUCCGUAAGCCGGAUAGGGGACAAUGUUAGGUGGGCAGUUUGACUGGGGCGGUCGCCUCCUAAAGAGUAACGGAGGCGCUCGAAGGUCACCUCAGAAUGAUUGGAAACCAUUCAAAGAGUGUAAAGGCAAAAGGUGGCUUGACUGCGAGGCCGACGGGCCGAGCAGAUACGAAAGUAGGACUUAGUGAUCCGGUGGUAAUAAGUGGGAAUGCCAUCGCUCAACGGAUAAAAGCUACCCUGGGAGAGAUCGGAAGAGCGUCGUGUAGGGAAAGAGUGUAGAUCUCGGUG